GGACUCCACAGAUCAGCAACCAAGAUGUCGAAUAGGAGUCCCACAGCACCACUGAGUUCUCUCCUCCAGGAAGGACUGGAGGCACCAUAAAACAGUGGCCCUAAGUGCCAUUCCAGAGAGAUGGGUCAGGAGGAUACUGUGGUCAGUAGUAUCAAAAGCCACUGAGAGGUCCAGCAAAACCAACAGGGACACAGAUCCCCUAUCCAGUUCCUGUCAUAGGUCAUCUACCAAGGCAACCAAAGCCGUCCCUGUCCCAUAACCAGGCCCAAAGCCAGACUGAAAUGGGUCUAGAUACUCUGUUUCGUCCAGGAACCUCUGGAGCUGAGAGGCUCCAACCAGCUCUCAUACCUUCCCCAAGAAUGGGAUAUUAGAUACUGGUCAGUAAUUAUUCAGUAUACAGUGGUGCCCCGCAUAGCGACAAUAAUCCGUUCCGGAAAAAUCGUCGCUAUCCGAAUUCGUCGCUAUGCGAAAUAAAAAAGCCCAUAGGAAUGCUUUAAAAUACGUUUAAUGCACUCCUAUGGGCUUAAAAUCUCACCUUAUGCGAAAAUCCUCCAUAGGGGCGGCCAUUCCUAUGGUCCAUCGAGUCCAAUACUUGUUAAGGAGGCACAGUGGGGCAUCUACAUGCAUGUUUAAAUCAUUUUUUAAAUUAAAACUUUAAAACACUUACAUUGAAUUGGACAACCAGCUCAUGGAGUGCAGGGGCAUGCAGCCUAUGCCUUUCCAAGUGUUCUUAGAUCUGAAUCCUCUCCUUGCUAACCAUUAGUUGUGCUGGAUGCAGCUGAUGGGAGCUGGAGUUUGCUGAUAUCUGGAAGCCCAGACCUCAGUUGCUCAUCUGCUGGCCAUACCGAAUAUGGUAUACCCCGGCAGUAGCAUUCUGAGAACUACCUGAAAUUAAAAAUGAAAAAGCAUCAUAUUGAAUUCAACAGUCCUGGGAGAACUAGCAUUUUCAUGCCUCACAGGAUUCACUGUAAGAAGAAACACAUCUCCUCUCAACAGUUCAUUUAUUUCUGAGGCUAACAGAGCAUGUCUGAGAAAUAAAAAAAAAAA
rnacentral:lncRNA from 1 species